CAAUAAUGAGCGAGAAAUAUUGAAAUAUGUAACUAUAAUUACUGAAUAGUCUAUUUCUCCUUUCAAUUUUGUCAACUUUUGCUUCACUUAUUUUGGGGCUCUCUUUUUAGGUGCAAGUAUAUUUGUAAUUGCUGUAUCUUUUUGCUUCUUUGAAGUUUUUGUUUGUUAAACCUAACAUCUGGACCCCACUCAGACCUGUCUCCAUGUAUCAAGUGGCCCUAUAUAAGCAGUCACAUGGAGAGAACUGCAGCUUCCUGCCAACAGCCAUGUAAGUGAAUAUCGUGUUGGCUGCAGAUCCUCUAUCCCCAUUCAAGCCUUCGGAUGAUGACAGACACAGCUGACAUCUUAAUUAUAACCUCAUGAAAGACUCUGAGCCAAAACCACCCUGCUAGUCUACUCCUGAAUUCUUGACUUAAAGAAACUACGUGAGACAAUAAAUGUUUAUUGUUGUUUUAAACCAUUAAA
rnacentral:lncRNA from 1 species